UGCCAGCAGCCGCGGUAAUACGAACCGUCCAAACGUUAUUCGGAAUUAUUGGGCUUAAAGGGCGCGUAGGCGGGCAGCCAAGUCAGCGGUGAAAGCCUCCGGCUCAACCGGAGAAGUGCCCCUGAUACUGGCCGCCUCGAGGGAGGUAGGGGCAGAUGGAACUUCCUGUGGAGCGGUGAAAUGUGUAGAUACAGGAAGGAACGCCGGUGGCGAAAGCGAUCUGCUGGACCUCUUCUGACGCUGAGGCGCGAAAGCUAGGGGAGCGAAGAGGAUUAGAUA
rnacentral:rRNA from 1 species